rnacentral:rRNA from 1 species
CGACGUUUAUGCGUUGUUGGGUAGGGGAGCGUUCUGUAAGCCUGCGAAGGUGGCCUGUGAGGGUUGCUGGAGGUAUCAGAAGUGCGAAUGCUGACAUAAGUAACGAUAAAGCGGGUGAAAAGCCCGCUCGCCGGAAGACCAAGGGUUCCUGUCCAACGUUAAUCGGGGCAGGGUGAGUCGACCCCUAAGGCGAGGCCGAAAGGCGUAGUCGAUGGGAAACGGGUUAAUAUUCCCGUACUUGGUGUUACUGCGAAGGGGGGACGGAGAAGGCUAUGUUGGCCGGGCGACGGUUGUCCCGGUUUAAGCGUGUAGGUGUGUGUUCCAGGUAAAUCCGGUUCACUUUAACACUGAGGCGUGACGACGAGGCACUACGGUGCUGAAGCAACAAAUGCCCUGCUUCCAGGAAAAGCCUCUAAGCAUCAGGUAACAUCAAAUCGUACCCCAAACCGACACAGGUGGUCAGGUAGAGAAUACCAAGGCGCUUGAGAGAACUCGGGUGAAGGAACUAGGCAAAAUGGUGCCGUAACUUCGGGAGAAGGCACGCUGACACGUAGGUGAAGUGAUUUACUCAUGGAGCUGAAGUCAGUCGAAGAUACCAGCUGGCUGCAACUGUUUAUUAAAAACACAGCACUGUGCAAACACGAAAGUGGACGUAUACGGUGUGACGCCUGCCCGGUGCCGGAAGGUUAAUUGAUGGGGUCAGCGCAAGCGAAGCUCCUGAUCGAAGCCCCGGUAAACGGCGGCCGUAACUAUAACGGUCCUAAGGUAGCGAAAUUCCUUGUCGGGUAAGUUCCGACCUGCACGAAUGGCGUAAUGAUGGCCAGGCUGUCUCCACCCGAGACUCAGUGAAAUUGAACUCGCUGUGAAGAUGCAGUGUACCCGCGGCAAGACGGAAAGACCCCGUGAACCUUUACUAUAGCUUGACACUGAACAUUGAGCCUUGAUGUGUAGGAUAGGUGGGAGGCUUUGAAGUGUGGACGCCAGUCUGCAUGGAGCCGACCUUGAAAUACCACCCUUUAAUGUUUGAUGUUCUAACGUGGACCCGUUACCCGGGUUGCGGACAGUGUCUGGUGGGUAGUUUGACUGGGGCGGUCUCCUCCUAAAGAGUAACGGAGGAGCACGAAGGUUGGCUAAUCCUGGUCGGACAUCAGGAGGUUAGUGCAAUGGCAUAAGCCAGCUUGACUGCGAGCGUGACGGCGCGAGCAGGUGCGAAAGCAGGUCAUAGUGAUCCGGUGGUUCUGAAUGGAAGGGCCAUCGCUCAACGGAUAAAAGGUACUCCGGGGAUAACAGGCUGAUACCGCCCAAGAGUUCAUAUCGACGGCGGUGUUUGGCACCUCGAUGUCGGCUCAUCACAUCCUGGGGCUGAAGUAGGUCCCAAGGGUAUGGCUGUUCGCCAUUUAAAGUGGUACGCGAGCUGGGUUUAGAACGUCGUGAGACAGUUCGGUCCCUAUCUGCCGUGGGCGCUGGAGAACUGAGGGGGGCUGCUCCUAGUACGAGAGGACCGGAGUGGACGCAUCACUGGUGUUCGGGUUGUCAUGCCAAUGGCACUGCCCGGUAGCUAAAUGCGGAAGAGAUAAGUGCUGAAAGCAUCUAAGCACGAAACUUGCCCCGAGAUGAGUUCUCCCUGAGACUUUAGGUCUCCUGAAGGAACGUUGAAGACGACGACGUUGAUAGGCCGGGUGUGUAAGC